rnacentral:misc_RNA from 1 species
UUAAGUUCAGCGGGUUUUCUUGCCCGAUUUCAGACCAAGUUAUCAAAUGUUUUACCCAAGGGCAAAACAGUUGUUAAGAAGUUGGGUAUAUGCUUCCGUCCAACCCCAAGAGCUGUCAAAGCGAAAUAGAAAAAUCUGUUGCACUUUGGUAACCCAAGGAAUAGUCGAUGGAUGCACACACUAUCAUUUUAAGACGAUUG